AUGGAAGCGGAAGAAAUGAGAUCAGAUAUAAGUAUGAACAUGAAUGGUCAAAUGGUAAAAAGUGAACCAUGUUUAGACGCUAAUAACAAUACUCCGGACAGCCACGCCACAUUCAAGAAGCCUGAAGUAAUGCGCGGCCGAAGGGAGUAUUGUCGGAGGAGGGAGCGUGCCGAGAGGAAGAGAGUUUGGCGGAGGGAGAUGUGCCGAGAUGAAGGGAAUCCGACGGAGGGAGAUGUGUGGCCGGGAGGGGCUGCUUGCCAGAGGAAGGAGGCCGUAGAAGGAGGUCGAUCACCGGAGGGAGGAGGUCGAUCGGAGCUCCGAUGA